rnacentral:lncRNA from 1 species
AGAUAUAUUUGUUCAACUCAGAGACACCAUCUCAUUUUCAAUGUAAGAUUUGAAACCAGUCUGACAAACAAGUCACCCUAGAUACUGCUGCCUGAGCCUUGGCCACAGGAAUGUCAGCCUGAUUCACACUGCCUUCAGCCCUCUGAGCGUUUCCUGGUUCAGAGAGACCAAGCAGCCACGUUCUGGCAGUUUCAAUGGGAAGUGUCAGCCUGUUUCCAGUGCUUUCAAAAGACAUUCCAUCAUUUCAUGAAUCACAUCAUUGUGUGGAACCUCUGAGAUAAUAAGACUCCGAACAUCAUCUCACAACACCAUUUGGAUCAAAGACAGGGAAGCAUAUGUGCAUUCUUUUCUACACAGAUUUUGCAGGGGAAGUCAGGAAAAUCCUGCUGGCUGUAAGACUUUUCUUAGCUUCAUUUGCAAAAGGCUGCAUGCCACUAGCAGAGGACAAGAUGGAACUGAUCCUGGAGGAAAUUACAGUAGAUUUCUGCCAUCCAGAGCAAGGAUGACUCAGGGCAUUGGCACAGUGGAACUGGGAAACACAUCUUUGUAGGGACUGGAAUUAUACAGCUAAGUCAAAACCAAGAUAUAGAUAUCGC